UAACACCGGCGGCUCGAGUGGUAACCGCUGUUAUUGGGUCUAAAGGGUCUGUAGCCUGCCGGCUAAGUCUCUUGGGAAAUCUGGCAUCUCAAGUGUCAGGCUGCCAGGGGAUACUGGUCGGCUUGGGACCGGGAGAGGUGAGAGGUACCUCAGGGGUAGGGGUGAAAUCUUGUAAUCCUUGAGGGACCACCAGUGGCGAAGGCGUCUCACCAGAACGGAUCCGACGGCAAGGGACGAAAGCUAGGGGCACGAACCGG
rnacentral:rRNA from 1 species